UCCCUGGUGGCUCAGUUGGUAAAGAGUCUGCCUGCAGUGCAGGAGACCCAGGUUCGAUCCCUGGGUUAGGAA
rnacentral:tRNA from 1 species